GAUGAACGCUGGCGGCGUGCCUAAUACAUGCAAGUCGAGCGAACGGACGAGAAGCUUGCUUCUCUGAUGUUAGCGGCGGACGGGUGAGUAACACGUGGAUAACCUACCUAUAAGACUGGGAUAACUUCGGGAAACCGGAGCUGAUACCGGAUAAUAUUUUGAACCGCAUGGUUCAAAAGUGAAAGACGGUCUUGCUGUCACUUAUAGAUGGAUCCGCGCUGCAUUGGCUAGUUGGUAAGGUAACGGCUUACCAAGGCAACGAUGCAUAGCCGACCUGAGAGGGUGAUCGGCCACACUGGAACUGAGACACGGUCCAGACUCCUACGGGAGGCAGCAGUAGGGAAUCUUCCGCAAUGGGCGAAAGCCUGACGGAGCAACGCCGCGUGAGUGAUGAAGGUCUUCGGAUCGUAAAACUCUGUUAUUAGGGAAGAACAUAUGUGUAAGUAACUGUGCACAUCUUGACGGUACCUAAUCAGAAAGCCACGGCUAACUACGUG
rnacentral:rRNA from 1 species